AGAAUAGCAUGGUUUUCUGGGAACUCUAGGAAGUCUAGAGUGUGAUGUCCAAGAAGAAAGGGGUGGACAAGAAGCCCAGAAGCUGGGCUUGGAGGAUUUCAGCACUUCCAGAGUGAAAUAGAAACUCCUCUCUGCAGCAUGUGUGUCCCCAGCCCACAUCUGGGCUUCGUCACUGAGAACUGCCCCAGCCCUGAUCCGGGAGACACACGAUGAAAUGAGAGGAUAAGCCUAUGCCUGAGGCAUCUUCACUUCAGGGGAGUACACACAGACAGAGGCCACCUGAGGACCUGGCAAGAGGCGCUUGCAAGCCAAGAAGAGGUGCCUCGGGAGAAAGCGAACCACCAGCACCUUGAUGGUGGACUUUCAGCCUCCAGAAUGCUCCUGACAGCUGGAGAGAGACCCGGAACCUGGUGCUCCAACCAAAUACUGUAGCUGGGACCAUCCAUCUUGGAGAAGUGGUCCAGGUCAACUGGAGAGUAUCCACAGGUGCCAUGGCCACGUCGAGUCCAAGGAAACAGUGCCAAGCAUCCAGUCACAGGGACAGCAACCAAGAAGAUGGUUCCUGAGGUUCACCUUUGCCUGGCCUCAUUUCCCACUGCACCCUGGUUUGUGCCUUCUGCUCACA